AUGAAGAUGAGCCGGCAAUGGAUGUACGAUGACCGAUGCUCUCCCCAGUUAAUUAAUGGCGUGCAUACUUUUCUGCUUGCGGCUGAGGCAAACAAGCGGGCGGAUGGUUUUAUGUCUUAUCCAUGUGCUAACUGUAAGAAUGAUCUGAAUUACUCUAAGUCAAGAACCAUUCACGUCCACCUGUUUGAGUCCGGUUUCAUGCCCCGCUAUAAUGUUUGGACCAAGCAUGGAGAAAGAGGGGUUAUGAUGGAAGACAAUGAAGAAGAAGAGGAUGACAAUAGCUAUCCUGGCCAUGGGUUCCCUGAAUACGAUGGUACAACAAUAGGGGAAGAAGCUGAAGAAGAGGCAUCAGAUGAGCCCAUUGAUGAUCUAGGUCGGGCCAUUGCCGAUGCAAAGAUAAACUGCGCAAGUGAAAAGGAUAAGAAGAAGUUGCAG
rnacentral:rRNA from 1 species